UACGUAGGGUGCGAGCGUUGUCCGGAAUUAUUGGGCGUAAAGAGCUCGUAGGCGGUCUGUCGCGUCGAUCGUGAAAACUUGGGGCUUAACCCUGAGCUUGCGGUCGAUACGGGCAUGACUGGAGUUCGGCAGGGGAGACUGGAAUUCCUGGUGUAGCGGUGAAAUGCGCAGAUAUCAGGAGGAACACCGGUGGCGAAGGCGGGUCUCUGGGCCGAUACUGACGCUGAGGAGCGAAAGCGUGGGAGGCGAACAGG
rnacentral:rRNA from 1 species